rnacentral:rRNA from 1 species
UAGGGAAUCUUCCACAAUGGACGCAAGUCUGAUGGAGCAACGCCGCGUGAGUGAAGAAGGCUUUCGGGUCGUAAAACUCUGUUGUUGGAGAAGAAUGGUCGGCAGAGUAACUGUUGUCGGCGUGACGGUAUCCAACCAGAAAGCCACGGCUAACUACGUGCCAGCAGCCGCGGUAAUACGUAGGUGGCAAGCGUUAUCCGGAUUUAUUGGGCGUAAAGCGAGCGCAGGCGGUUUUUUAAGUCUGAUGUGAAAGCCCUCGGCUUAACCGAGGAAGUGCAUCGGAAACUGGGAAACUUGAGUGCAGAAGAGGACAGUGGAACUCCAUGUGUAGCGGUGAAAUGCGUAGAUAUAUGGAAGAACACCAGUGGCGAAGGCGGCUGUCUGGUCUGUAACUGACGCUGAGGCUCGAAAGCAUGGGUAGCGAACAGGAUUAGAUACCCUGGUAGUCCAUGCCGUAAACGAUGAAUGCUAGGUGUUGGAGG